CGGCGUGCAGCUCAGCGGCAGAGCACCGGGCUUGCUUCCCGGAGGGCGCAGGGGCGGCAGCCUGCCACGCCAG
rnacentral:tRNA from 1 species